rnacentral:lncRNA from 1 species
AACCAGUCAGCCAGAGAUGAAAAAGAACCAGAAAUAAUGGUGUGCUUAUUCAGCAGUAAGUAUGAGAGGCAGAAAAUAUUCUAGGCCUAUGCUAAGUUUCACAGAGGCUAGAAGCUUCCAGGACUAGGUCUAGGUUAUCACUCAGAUGGAGGUAGUAAGCAUCAAAGAUUACAAUUACACCUAGUGCAUAAAAGUUACUUUGACAUAGAGCUAAUAGGUGAGAUUUUGGAAGGCAUAUAUAGAAUCCAUCCAUGGAACUCAGCAAUUCCCCUCUGCUGUAGGUAGUGACAUACUUGAUUCAUGCAUUUUAUAAUUCAGCUCCACUGUUCUGAUAUCCCAGGUAUCUAAUGGACAACUGUGGAAGAUCAUUCAUUGGGGAAGGGUUAGUGUAGUGCAGAAGAGAGAGGUUCCUUUUGUUUUCAGAGCACCUCACUGCCCUAUUCACCUCAUCUGGCUGGAAUUCAAAAUUCAGGUCAUAAAGACAGGAGAGGACACAUUUUGUCCUUUCUUUUUAUGUCUUUCCAUUUUGUAGAGAAUGAUGAUGUGAGGUAGCAAAGAGCAGAAGAUAAAAGCAUAACACUAAGCAGGUCCCCAUCAAAGAUUUCUAGAUACUCUGGGCCUUUUACUCAUCAUGCAGAAAGGAAGCAGAGGUUGCUGAAUAUCAGAUAGUGUCCUUAGUGAUGAAGUUGGUCUGAAUACAGAAACAUUUUGGGGACUAUAAAUCAAGAUUCUGACAUUAGCAGACAGGUGAUAAAAUGAAUAAAAUCAGUGAAACUUUAAAUCAAAAGUAACAUUGCCAAUUUUCCUUAUAGGUGCGAGGAAAUAAACCACCUAUUUUCCGUACCUUUCCUCGGAAGCAUAGAAUUCAUGUGCUUGAGGCUCCUGGUGACAUUGAGCCAACUCAUUCCACCUGUGCUGCUGACAGCAGGGCUCCUGCUGAUGCUGAGCAAAAUUCUUCCACCUGUGCUGCUGUCAAUGGGGCUCCUGCUGGUGUUGAGCCAACUACUUCUUCCCAGUGUGCUCCUGACUGUGAGGAUCCUGCAGUCAUUGAGCCACCUCAUUCCACCUGUGCUGCUGACAGCAGGGCUCCUGCUGAUGCUGAGCCAAAUUCUUCCACCUGUGCUGCUGUCAAUGGGGCUCCUGCUGAUGUUGAGCCAACUACUUCACAACUUGUUCCUGACAGUGGUGCUCCUGCUGAUGUUGAGCCAGCUACUUCCCAGUGUGCUCCUGACUGUGAGGAUCCUGCAGUCAUUGAGCCAACACAUUCCACCUGUGCUGCUGACAGCAGGGCUCCUGCUGAUGCUGAGCCAAAUUCUUCCACCUGUGCUGCUGUCAAUGGGGCUCCUGCUGAUGAUGAGCCAACAACUUCUUCCCAGUGUGCUCCUGACUGUGAGGAUCCUGCAGUCAUUGAGCCAACUCAUUCCACCUGUGCUGCUGACAGCAGGGCUCCUGCUGAUGCUGAGCCAAAUUCUUCCACCUGUGCUGCUGUCAAUGGGGCUCCUGCUGAUGUUGAGCCAACUACUUCCAAGUGUGCUCCUGACUGUGAGGAUCCUGCAGUCAUUGAGCCAACUCAUUCCACCUGUGCUGCUGAAAGCAGGAUUCCUGCUGACAUAGAACCAAGUACUUCACAAUGUGCUCCUGACAGUCCUGCUCCUUCUGAUAUUGGUGAGGAACCCAGUCCUGUUGCUGACCCAGAUGAAGAUAUAGCUGAGGAUUUUUAUGAUGCUUUAGAGUCAUCUGAUCACACUGGCCAUAGCGGGUCCACUGUCCAGGUACCUGGUUUUCUUUGGGAACCAGAUAUGCUACUGCUGCCGGUAAUGCCCUUGAUGUGGUUUCUUACAUUCCUGUUAUCAAUGAUGAUGUGGAUUAGAAACGGAAUUCGCAAGUGUGCUACGAAGAAAAUGGCCAAGGACCUCCCUCCAUGAGAGGUAUGGUGGACCACAGUAGUUGCUCAAAAUAGAUGAACUUUU